UACGUAGGGUGCGAGCGUUAAUCGGAAUUACUGGGCGUAAAGCGUGCGUAGGUGGUUCGUUGUGUCUGUGGUGAAAGCCCCGGGCUUAACCUGGGAAUGGCCAUGGAAACUGGCGAGCUGGAGUGUGGCAGAGGGGGGUGGAAUUCCGGGUGUAGUGGUGGAAUGCGUAGAUAUCCGGAGGAACACCAGUGGCGAAAGCGGCUCUCUGGGGGCAACCUGACGCUGAGGCGCGAAGGCCAGGGGAGCAAACGGG
rnacentral:rRNA from 1 species